CUCGGAAAUAGCUGCAAAAAAAGGGGUUUAAGGGAGAUUUGCUAAGGUCAUUGUGCAAGUUGUUUGUUGGACAAUUAUCAAGUAGGCCUUAUGACAUUGUACUUAAAAUUCUAAGAACUGUGGAUAUUGAUGAGCCAACAUUAGGAUGCGUCCACACUAAAUGUGGAAAUAUGACCUUUUAUUCCUUUUUGGACCUUGUCACAAUGAUGUAUUACUCUGUUAUGAAAGGCUCUUAUUGCCAAUAUGUAUCACGUGUAAUUAUAUAACUUGUACUGACCAAUCAUAAGUACUGUAAACAUCUUCAUUAUUUUGAUACUCCUAUAAUGAGAUAUCUAUAAAAUAAACUGCUGGGGGUGGUCUAAGUAGAUCUCCUCAGACAUAUCUAUCUGCAUGUGUCUGUGUAUUUCUCGGCCGAGCUAAUUAAUCAAUCUCUGCUUACCUAAAGAACCACU